rnacentral:lncRNA from 1 species
GAACGUUCAAUGUACUCGCUAGGAUAGGUCUGUGUCUAGCCAAUGACCUGCCUCGUGCGAAGAGAUUGGUCUUUUCUUAACCAAUGAGGUGACAUGACUAGCUGGCUAGAGAACAAUUAAAAAAAUAGAUAGCCAACAUUCUCUUUGCUGCUAAACUUCUUCUAGGUAAGUGACUGGCCAUAAAUUAUCACUAACAAUUAUUUCCACAGAUAGUCAUAUUUUUAUAGUGGCUAAUAAUUCAAAUGUAUAUUUAUCUUGCUUAUCUCUGUUCACCCUUCAUAUACAGUCAUUGGCUCGCCCUCGUUAACAAAAAACUGGUAAGUUACCCAUAAAGUUAGCUGGAUAGCUAACGUUAUAUCAAUUUUGCUAUGCAAUUAGCUCAACGUAACUAUGUUAAUAUAUUUUAGUUCAAGCAGAGAGCAAGAGGCGAAGCAUGUAGAUAGACACUCGUUGGUUAAAGGCGUGAUAAUAAUUAGCUAGACUGAUGGAUGGCAAACUUCAGCUGGCUAACUUAACUGGCUAGCAAACUAACGUUACCGCGCAAGGGACUGUGAACGUUCAUUUUGCAUCUUUGACGCCCCCUGUGGCAGAUUUGAGCAUGGCACAAGGACCCGCAGGCAGAGACGCGACUCGCAGGAAAAGGUACUUUUAGCUACUUAAAUGGCCUGUUGCACGUCACUGUCAAAAAUAAUGAGAAAAGAGACUUGAAGACAUCAUUAAAAUGAUCUACUGUAGCUAAGUAAUGGGUACAUUAUCUUACAGUAAGGAUCAGCUGGACUGGAGCACAUGCUGGAGCAACAGUCUGAAAGAGAUUGCAGGCCUCCUGCCCAUAUCUAAGCCUAGGAAUGGCCGAGGACUCACCAAGAAGGAGACUCUGGUCCACAUGCUGCGCUAUUUUGACUUUCUUCAGAGUAGGAUCCAGACCCUGCAGAGCCGCUUGCCCCCACACUGCAUCCCCAAACAGGAUCCCGACACAGGUACAACCUCAGCCAAGCAUCAAGACAAGUACAGACUACAUACCUGA